AAUGGUCGGUACAGAGGGUUGCCAACCCGCAGGGGGAGCCAAUCCCAGAAACCGAUCGUAGUCCGGAUUGUAGUCUGCAACUCGACUGCAUGAAGUCGGAAUCGCUAGUAAUCGCGGAUCAGCAUGUCGCGGUGAAUACGUUCCCGGGCCUU
rnacentral:rRNA from 1 species